rnacentral:piRNA from 1 species
GCAGUAAAGAAGCCGCUAAAACCCAACAA